CAGGUGCCAGAGUCCAGGUGCCAGAGUCCAGAUGUUAGAGUCCAGGUGUCAGAGUCCAGAUGUUAGAGUCCAGGUGUCAGAGUCCAGAUGUUAGAGUCCAGGUGCCAGAGUCCAGAUGUUAGUCCAGGUGUUAGAGUCCAGAUGUCACAGUCCAGAUGUUAGAGCCCAGAUGUUAGUUUAGAUGGUAGUCCAGGUGUCAGAGUCCAGAUGGUAGUCCAGAUGUCAGAGUCCAGGUGUCAGAAUCCAGAUGUUAGUCCAGGUGUCAGAAUCCAGAUGUUAGUCCAGGUGUCAGAGUCCAGAUGUUAGUCCAGGUGUCAGAGUCCAGAUGUCAGAGUCCAGAUGUUAGUCCAAGUGUCAGAGUCCAGAUGUUAGUCCAGGUGUCAGAGUCCAGAUGUUAGUCCAGGUGUCAGAGUCCAGGUGUCAGAG